ACGAUCGGUGGCAGUGGUGCAUGGUUGUCGUCAGCUCGUGUCGUGAGAUGUUGGGUUAAGUCCCGCAACGAGCGCAACCCCUAUUGUUAGUUGCCAUCAUUCAGUUGGGCACUCUAGCGAGACUGCCGGUAAUAAACCGGAGGAAGGUGGGGAUGACGUCAAAUCAUCAUGCCCCUUAUGACCUGGGCUACACACGUGCUACAAUGGUUGGUACAACGAGUUGCGAGUCGGUGACGGCGAGCUAAUCUCUUAAAGCCAAUCUCAGUUCGGAUUGUAGGCUGCAACUCGCCUACAUGAAGUCGGAAUCGCUAGUAAUCGCGGAUCAGCACGCCGCGGUGAAUACGUUCCCGGGCCUU
rnacentral:rRNA from 1 species